rnacentral:rRNA from 1 species
GAAGGUGGCCUGUGAGGGUUGCUGGAGGUAUCAGAAGUGCGAAUGCUGACAUAAGUAACGAUAAAGCGGGUGAAAAGCCCGCUCGCCGGAAGACCAAGGGUUCCUGUCCAACGUUAAUCGGGGCAGGGUGAGUCGACCCCUAAGGCGAGGCCGAAAGGCGUAGUCGAUGGGAAACGGGUUAAUAUUCCCGUACUUGGUGUUACUGCGAAGGGGGGACGGAGAAGGCUAUGUUGGCCGGGCGACGGUUGUCCCGGUUUAAGCGUGUAGGUGUGUGUUCCAGGUAAAUCCGGUUCACUUUAACACUGAGGCGUGACGACGAGGCACUACGGUGCUGAAGCAACAAAUGCCCUGCUUCCAGGAAAAGCCUCUAAGCAUCAGGUAACAUCAAAUCGUACCCCAAACCGACACAGGUGGUCAGGUAGAGAAUACCAAGGCGCUUGAGAGAACUCGGGUGAAGGAACUAGGCAAAAUGGUGCCGUAACUUCGGGAGAAGGCACGCUGACACGUAGGUGAAGUGAUUUACUCAUGGAGCUGAAGUCAGUCGAAGAUACCAGCUGGCUGCAACUGUUUAUUAAAAACACAGCACUGUGCAAACACGAAAGUGGACGUAUACGGUGUGACGCCUGCCCGGUGCCGGAAGGUUAAUUGAUGGGGUCAGCGCAAGCGAAGCUCCUGAUCGAAGCCCCGGUAAACGGCGGCCGUAACUAUAACGGUCCUAAGGUAGCGAAAUUCCUUGUCGGGUAAGUUCCGACCUGCACGAAUGGCGUAAUGAUGGCCAGGCUGUCUCCACCCGAGACUCAGUGAAAUUGAACUCGCUGUGAAGAUGCAGUGUACCCGCGGCAAGACGGAAAGACCCCGUGAACCUUUACUAUAGCUUGACACUGAACAUUGAGCCUUGAUGUGUAGGAUAGGUGGGAGGCUU